CCUACGGGAGGCAGCAGUGGGGGAUAUUGCACAAUGGGGGGAACCCUGAUGCAGCGACGCCGCGUGGGUGAAGGAGUGCUUCGGCAUGUAAAGCCCUAUCGGCAGGGAAGAAGCAAGACGGUACCUGACUAAGAAGCCCCGGCUAACUACGUGCCAGCAGCCGCGGUAAUACGUAGGGGGCGAGCGUUAUCCGGAUUCACUGGGUGGAAAGGGGGCGUAGACGGGCAUGCAAGCCAGGGGUGAAAGCCCGGGGCCCAACCCCGGGACUGCCCUUGGAACUGGAUGGCUGGAGUGCGGGAGGGGCAGGCGGAAUUCCUGGUGUAGCGGUGAAAUGCGUAGAUAGCAGGAGGAACACCGGCGGCGAAGGCGGCCUGCUGGACCGCGACUGACGUUGAGGCUCGAAAGCGUGGGGAGCGAACAGGAUUAGAUACCCGUGUAGUC
rnacentral:rRNA from 1 species